rnacentral:rRNA from 1 species
UCGAACGAAGUCCUCGGACUUAGUGGCGCACGGGUGAGUAACAUGUGGGAAUCUACCUAAAGGUUCGGAAUAACUGCGGGAAACUGUAGCUAAUACCGGAUGUGUCUGCAAAGAGAAAGAUUUAUCGCCUUUAGAUGAGCCCGCACUAGAUUAGCUAGUUGGUGAGGUAAUUGCUCCACCAAGGCUACGAUCUAUAGCUGAUUUGAGAGGAUGAUCAGCCACACUGGGACUGAGACACGGCCCAGACUCCUACGGGAGGCAGCAGUAGGGAAUAUUGGACAAUGGGGGCAACCCUGAUCCAGCAAUGCAGCGUGAGUGACGAAGGCCUUAGGGUUGUAAAACUCUUUCAUCGGUGAGGAUAAUGACAGUAGCCGAAGAAGAAGGACCGGCUAAU